rnacentral:rRNA from 1 species
GUUCCAGCCGCCGCGGUAAAACGUAGGAGACAAACGUUAUCCGGAGUUACUGGGCGUAAAGGGCGUGUAGGUGGUUUUGUAAGUCUGGCGUGAAAUUUUUCGGCUUAACCGGGAAAGGUCGUCGGAUACUGCAGGACUGGAGGACGGUAGAGGCGUGUGGAAUUCCGGGUGUAGUGGUGAAAUGCGUAGAGAUCCGGAGGAACACCAGUGGCGAAGGCGACACGCUGGGCCGUACCUGACACUGAUGCGCGACAGCAUGGGGAGCAAACAGGAUUAGAUACCCCGGUAGUCC